rnacentral:rRNA from 1 species
AAAAAAGACAGUCUCAGUUCGGAUUGAAGGCUGAAAUUCGCCUUCAUGAAGCCGGAAUUGCUAGUAAUGGCAGGUCAGCAUACUGCCGUGAAUACGUUCCCGGGCCUUGUACACACCGCCCGUCACACCAUGAGAGUUGGGAAUACCCGAAGCCUGUGAGCCAACUAUAUAGAGGCAGCAGUCGAAGGUAGAAUCAAUGAUUGGGGUGAAGUCGUAACAAGGUAAC